UUAAUUGAAGCCAAAAAGAGGCAUUUCACUGUUAAUGAUAUAACUGAAGAUUACUUCCAAUUAAA
rnacentral:tRNA from 1 species